rnacentral:rRNA from 1 species
GACGAACGCUGGCGGCGUGCUUAACACAUGCAAGUCGAACGAUGAAGCCGGAGCUUGCUCCGGUGGAUUAGUGGCGAACGGGUGAGUAACACGUGAGCAAUCUGCCCUUGACUCUGGGAUAACUGCGGGAAACUGUAGCUAAUACCGGAUACGACACCUUGGGGCAUCCCAGGGUGUGGAAAGUAAGUAGGUCAAGGAUGAGCUCGCGGCCUAUCAGCUAGUUGGUGAGGUGAUGGCGGACCAAGGCGACGAAGGGUAGCCGGCCUGAGAGGGUGACCGGCCACACUGGAACUGAGACACGGUCCAGACUCCUACGGGCGGCAGCAGUGGGGAAUAUUGCACAAUGGGCGAAAGCCUGAGGCAGCAUCGCCGCGUUAGGGGUGAAGGCCUUCGGGUUGUAAACCUCUUUCAGCAGGGAAGAAGCGAAAGUGACGGUACCUGCAGAAAAAGCACCGGCUAACUACGUGCCAGCCGCCGCGGUAA